rnacentral:rRNA from 1 species
UAGGGAAUUUUCCACAAUGGACGAAAGUCUGAUGGAGCAACGCCGCGUGCAGGAUGAAGGCCCUUGGGUCGUAAACUGCUUUUAUAUGUGAAGAUAAUGACGGUAGCAUAUGAAUAAGGAUCGGCUAACUCCGUGCCAGCAGCCGCGGUCAUACGGAGGAUCCAAGCGUUAUCCGGAAUUACUGGGCGUAAAGAGUUGCGUAGGUGGCAUAGUAAGUAGGUAGUGAAAGCGUGUGGCUCAACCAUACUCACAUUAUCUAAACUGCUAAGCUAGAAUAUAGAAGAGGUAGCUGGAAUUCCCUGUGUAGGAGUGAAAUCCGUAGAUAUAGGGAGGAACACCAAUGGCGUAGGCAGGCUACUGGUCUAUUAUUGACACUAAGGCACGAAAGCGUGGGUAGCAAACGGGAUUAGAUACCCAGGUAGUCCCUGAGCGGGCUGGCAAGGCGCAU